AUGGAAAAGAUCCAGAAAGUAUCAUUCUUAGUCCUCGCCCUUCACCUAGCAUGGGUGAGUGGUCAGCAGAAGGGGAGACCUGACCAGCAGCAGGUGAAACAAAGCCCCCAAUUUCUGACAGUCUGGGAAGGAGAGACCUCAGUUCUGAACUGCACUUAUGAGAACAGCGCAUUUGACUACUUCCCAUGGUACCGGCAGUUCCCUGGUGAAGGCCUUGAAUUCCUGAUAGCCAUAAAUUCAGUGUCAAAUAAAAAGGAAGGUGGACCAUUCACCGUCUUCUUCAGGAAAAGUGAUAAACAGCUCUCCUUGCACAUCACAGAUUCUCAGCCUGGAGACUCAGCCACCUACUUCUGUGCAGCAAGUGCACAGUGA